GCAUUUCUCAGUCUUCAUAACCCAGGAGGAAGCCCACGGCGUCCUGCAUAGGCGCCGGCGCGCCAACGCGUUCCUGGAGGAGCUGCGGCCGGGCUCCCUGGAGAGGGAGUGCAAGGAGGAGCAGUGCUCCUUCGAGGAGGCCCGGGAGAUCUUCAAGGACCUGGAGAGGACGAAGCUGUUCUGGAUUUCUUACAGUGGUGAGUGGAUGAUCACCACCAGUCCUGCCUGCAACCCUUCUCCUCAGCGAACUGACACCAGCCCACUCCACAGAUGGGGACCAGUGUGCCUCAAGUCCAUGCCAGAAUGGGGGCUCCUGCAAGGACCAGCUCCAGUCCUAUAUCUGCUUCUGCCUCCCUGCCUUCGAGGGCCGGAACUGUGAGACGUAAUGACGUGUGACGAGACGUGGGAAGUACUGCCAACUUGGGAAGCUCUACGAGCCCCGGUGUCCAGAGGUUUUAUCAGGGCUCAAUCACAUAGACCCAGCUGACCACCCACAUGGCUGACCUCAGUCUCAGCCCCUCCAGAGGCUAUGCCGAUAGUGCGGCCCAAGGCCCCGCCAUACAUCACAUUGUCAGCUAGACCAUCCAGCAUGGCUCAAGGCCCAGCAGCUCAUCCUUGACCGCCCAAGACC
rnacentral:sRNA from 1 species